AUUUCUCUCCAGAAAUUUCAUUCUUUUCAUUGUAGAAAAGCCUCUAGAACAGCAAUUAGACCAUCGUGGGACACUAAAACUCUCCACCGA